rnacentral:tRNA from 1 species
GGGCAGGUGGUGAAAUGGUAGACACGCAUGCCUUAGGAGCAUGUGCCGCAAGGCUUGGGAGUUCAAGUCUCCCCCUGCCCACAA